GAUGAACGCUAGCGGGAGGCCUAACACAUGCAAGCCGAGCGGUAUUGUUUCUUCGGAAAUGAGAGAGCGGCGUACGGGUGCGUAACACGUGUGCAACCUGCCUUUAUCUGGGGGAUAGCCUUUCGAAAGGAAGAUUAAUACUCCAUAAUAUAUUGAACGGCAUCGUUUAAUAUUGAAAGCUCCGGCGGAUAGAGAUGGGCACGCGCAAGAUUAGCUAGUUGGUGAGGUAACGGCUCACCAAGGCGAUGAUCUUUAGGGGGCCUGAGAGGGCGAUCCCCCACACUGGUACUGAGACACGGACCAGACUCCUACGGGAGGCAGCAGUGAGGAAUAUUGGUCAAUGGGUGCAAGCCUGAACCAGCCAUCCCGCGUGAAGGACGACUGCCCUAUGGGUUGUAAACUUCUUUUGUAUAGGGAUAAACCUACCCUCGAGAGGGUAGCUGAAGGUACUAUACGAAUAAGCACCGGCUAACUCCGUG
rnacentral:rRNA from 1 species